rnacentral:rRNA from 1 species
AGUGAACAGCUGGCGGCGUGCCUAAUACAUGCAAGUCGAACGCGAAAGUCCUUCGGGAUGAGUAAAGUGGCGCACGGUGAGUAAUACAUGGGAACAUGCCCUUGGAUGGGGAAUAACGUUUGGAAACGAACGCUAAUACCGCAUAAUCUCGCGAGAGUAAAGGUGGCGCCGCAAGGGCUACCGUCCAAGGAUUGGCCCAUGUCCCAUUAGCUAGUUGGCGGGGUAAUGGCCCACCAAGGCAACGAUGGGUAUGUGGUCUGAGAGGAUGAUCACACACACUGGAACUGAGACAUGGUCCAGACUCCUACGGGAGGCAGCAGUAGGGAAUAUUGCACAAUGGGGGAAACCCUGAUGCAGCAACGCCGCGUGAGUGAAGAAGGCCCUUGGGUUGUAAAGCUCUUUAGCGUGGGAAGAAGGUAGAUAUGGUGAAUAAUCAUGUUUGCUGACGGUACCACGAGAAUAAGCACCGGCUAAUUUCGUGCCAGCAGCCGCGGUAA